GAUAUUGCACAAUGGGGGAAACCCUGAUGCAGCAAUGCCGCGUGAGGGAAGAAGGUCUNCGGAUUNUNAACCUAAGUUGUCAGGGNCGAAAUAAUGACGGUACCUGAAGAGGAAGCUCCGGCUAACUACGUGCCAGCAGCCGCGGUAAUACGUAGGGAGCGAGCGUUGUCCGGAAUUACUGGGUGUAAAGGGUGCGUAGGCGGGACAGCAAGUCAGGCGUGAAAUACCGGGGCUCAACUCCGGGGCUGCGCUUGAAACUGUUGUUCUUGAGUGAAGUAGAGGUAAGCGGAAUUCCUAGUGUAGCGGUGAAAUGCGUAGAUAUUAGGAGGAACACCAGUGGCGAAGGCGGCUUACUGGGCUUUAACUGACGCUGAGGCACGAAAGCAUGGGGAGCAAACAGG
rnacentral:rRNA from 1 species